rnacentral:rRNA from 1 species
UACGUAGGGUGCAAGCGUUAAUCGGAAUUACUGGGCGUAAAGCGUGCGCAGGCGGCUAUGCAAGACAGAUGUGAAAUCCCCGGGCUCAACCUGGGAACUGCAUUUGUGACUGCAUAGCUAGAGUACGGUAGAGGGGGGAUGGAAUUCCGCGUGUAGCAGUGAAAUGCGUAGAUAUGCGGAGGAACACCGAUGGCGAAGGCAAUCCCCUGGACCUGUACUGACGCUCAUGCACGAAAGCGUGGGGAGCAAACCGAGG